CAGUCGCCGCGGUAAUACGAAGGGGGCUAGCGUUGUUCGGAAUUACUGGGCGUAAAGCGCACGUAGGCGGACAUUUAAGUCAGGGGUGAAAUCCCGGGGCUCAACCCCGGAACUGCCUUUGAUACUGGGUGUCUAGAGUAUGGAAGAGGUGAGUGGAAUUCCGAGUGUAGAGGUGAAAUUCGUAGAUAUUCGGAGGAACACCAGUGGCGAAGGCGGCUCACUGGUCCAUUACUGACGCUGAGGUGCGAAAGCGUGGGGAGCAAACAGGAUUAGAUACCCCAGUAGUCCCUGUCUCUUAUAA
rnacentral:rRNA from 1 species